rnacentral:rRNA from 1 species
AAUUCCUACUUUGUAGCUGUCGCACAACUUCUUAUUUAUGUGGGAGCCAUAAAUGUCUUGAUCAUAUUCGUUGUAAUGUUCGUAAAUGGCUCGGAAUGGUCUAAAGAUAGGAAUUAUUGGACUAUUGGAGAUGGGUUCACUUCACUCGUUUGUAUAACUAUUGUUUUUUCACUAAUGACUACUAUCCCAGAUACGUCGUGGUAUGGAAUUUUUUGGACUACAAGAUCAAACCAAAUAGUAGAACAUGGUCUCAUAAAUAAUGUUCAACAAAUUGGAUACCUCCAUCCCACUAAGGGCAUCUCCAACGUCGACUCUCAAACCUUAUGCAACCAUCCGGACAGAGCUAUCCGGACCGCGGAAGCCAUCCAUAUCGGUCCGUGGAGCGGUCCGGACGCGAUUUCUCCUCGAACUGGGGACAAACAAGGGGGGGAGCUUUGUAGGAGUACGGACACGCGAAACCUCGUUCUCCGCCCCCCUGGCGCACCAAAAGGAAGGCGGAGCCCGCGCUUUUGUAGCAUCCUGCACUAUUCCGUGCCAAAAUGCCCCACUCUCUUCUUCCAUUCCCCGCCACUCUCCGCCCAAUUCCCGCUCAUUUCUCCCACCCUCAUUUUUUCCGCCGCCGACGCAUGGAACCGUCGGAGAACCUGGUAG